UACCAGCACCCCGAGUGGUCGGGACGAUUAUUGGGCCUAAAGCAUCCGUAGCCGGUCUUGCAAGUCCUCCGUUAAAUCCACCUGCUUAACAGAUGGGCUGCGGAGGAUACUACAAGGCUAGGAGGCGGAAGAGGCAAGCGGUACUCAGUGGGUAGGGGUAAAAUCCUCUGAUCCAUUGAAGACCACCAGUGGCGAAGGCGGCUUGCCAAUACGCGCUCGACGGUGAGGGAUGAAAGCUGGGGGAGCAAACCGG
rnacentral:rRNA from 1 species